ACGGGAGGCAGCAGUGGGGAAUAUUGCACAAUGGGGGAAACCCUGAUGCAGCGACGCCGCGUGAGUGAAGAAGUAUUUCGGUAUGUAAAGCUCUAUCAGCAGGAAAGAAAAUGACGGUACCUGACUAAGAAGCCCCGGCUAACUACGUGCCAGCAGCCGCGGUAAUACGUAGGGGGCAAGCGUUAUCCGGAUUUACUGGGUGUAAAGGGAGCGUAGACGGUAAGGCAAGUCUGAAGUGAAAUGCCAGGGCUCAACCCUGGAACUGCUUUGGAAACUGUCCUACUAGAGUGCAGGAGAGGUAAGUGGAAUUCCUAGUGUAGCGGUGAAACGCGUAGAUAUUAGGAGGAACACCAGUGGCGAAGGCGGCUUACUGGACUGUAACUGACGUUGAGGCUCGAAAGCGUGGGGAGCAAACAGGAUUAGAUACCCUGGUA
rnacentral:rRNA from 1 species